GCCCACUGUGGCCUCUGAGCCUUUGCACUUGCUGGCCUCGCAGCCUGGAACACUCUACCCUCUGCAUUGCUUGCUCCCUAAACACGCUCGGAAUUUGCUUAAACAUCCUCCUUGACAUAAUUUUUCUCCGUGGUCCACAUCCCUGCCUGACAUUGUGUAUAUUUUAUUUCUUUUUUCUCUGUCUCCCCAACUAGGCUGUCAGCUGGAUGAGAAUGGAGAGCUCUGCCUGCUUCUCCUGCUGUGCUGUGCCCGGUGUCCAGAGCCAGCCGGCAGCCGCAGGGCAUCAGUGACGUGCGCUGGGCCAGUGAACACUGCAGACCACACAGGAGCAUACUUCCAGGAGUGCUAAGCGCCGUUGGCUCCUUCACUGUCCAUGGAGCCCAGCUCUGUGCCCGGCCCUGACUUGCGCUGUAGGCACGAUGGCCAUGAAGGAGACAAACUCUGCCGCCCCCUGGAGCCGUCGUCACAGAGGGACAAACAGUGAGCAGAGCACAGCAGCCCACUGUGCACGUGCAGCCAGAGGCGUCUUCUCCAAUGGAGGCCGAGGACGUCGCUCCCUGGUCCUGAUCCCCUGCUCCUUAGAACCUGACCCAGGGCCCUUGCUGUGGAACUGAGCUUGGACUAAUGAGGCAGCUCAGAGGUAGCCGCUGGCCAGCCAGCCAGGGCCCAAGCUCACAGAAGAGGAGAAAGCCUCAUCAGCAGAGCAUUCCACUGUCACAGCUGACUGCUUUCCAGGCCUGAGCUGGAGGAUAUCUAAGCUGGGCCGUGCUCUUCCAGCGGGAUCAAUGCCUGAUUCACCUCGGGGAGCCCGAUGGGGUCUGGCCAGGUGCCCAGCAUGUGGGCUUCGCAGAGGGCCCUGCUCUCUGUGGGUGAAGGAAAAUCUUCUCUGCCCGCUCAGACGCUGGGACCGUCCCAGGGCCGUCUCGUGAGCAGGUGGAAAGACUCUGCAUGCAGUGUCACCAGCCUUGCGAGCAGCAGCCAGCGGCCUCCUGGACAUCCUCAGGCUUCUGAGGAGCCCCUGCGGAAGCUCCCUGACACACGACCCUCCCUCUGGACCCCAAGAUGUCUGGCUUCCUGUGGAGCUCCCUUAGACAUGGAGCUGGGUGAGCAGCCCAGACCUCGGUCAGCACUCCCAGGGGGAUCGCUCUACACCACUGUCAUAAAAAGGAGACAUCGUCCCAGUGGACAGGCCCAACUCCUGCGUUACAGUCAGAAAACUCAGCCUGACGUGGAAGUGACCCGAGGCUGCUUUGAGGGCCCAAACCCGUGCCGCAGUCCAGGCUCUGAGGUUUCACCUCAGUGGGGCUGA
rnacentral:lncRNA from 1 species